AUUGAACCACAUCUCCACCGGGUCCUGCAACUACAGGUCAGCCAGAGUCCCUGUGCCGGUGAUGUGGCCGUGUUGGCACCUGUCUUCGCUCCAGGAGGACACACAGGGGUGAUUCUCAGUGUCACCAGAUCUGCCUUCACCGCUCAGGGACGAUGGUUCAACGCCACAAGAUCACUAUGUAGCUUGAUCAAUGAAGUGUGUGUGUCUGGCUGUGCGGGGAUCUCCAUCGUGGACCUGAAGCUGACCAACUGUCACCUGUUCCUGCUGACCAACCGGGGGCUCUUCAUCAGCCAGGAUCUCCUUUCCCCUGUCACAGG